rnacentral:rRNA from 1 species
AGAGUUUGAUCCUGGCUCAGAACGAACGCUGGCGGCGUGGAUAAGACAUGCAAGUCGAACGCUGAUUUCAGGGUAGCAAUAUUCUGAAGUUGGAGUGGCGCAAGGGUGCGUAACACGUGGGUAAUUUGCCGUGAAGCUCGGAAUAACUCGCUGAAAGGCGAGCUAAUGCCGGAUGUGAUGUUUGGGAGGCAUCUCCUGAACCUUAAAGCUGGGGACCGUAAGGCCUGGCACUUCACGAUAAGCCCGCGGCCUAUCAGCUAGUCGGUGAGGUAACGGCUCACCAAGGCUAAGACGGGUAGCUGGUCUGAGAGGACGACCAGCCACACUGGAACUGAGACACGGUCCAGACACCUACGGGUGGCAGCAGUCGAGAAUUUUUCACAAUGGGCGAAAGCCUGAUGGAGCGACGCCGCGUGGGGGAUGAGUGGCUUCGGCCCGUAAACCCCUGUCAUUUGCGAACAAACCUCGUAAUUUAAAAGAUGACGAGCUGAUUGUAGCGAAAGAGGAAGGGACGGCUAACUCUGUGCCAGCAGCCGCGGUAAUACAGAGGUCCCAAGCGUUGUUCGGAUUCACUGGGCGUAAAAGGUGCGUAGGUGGUUAGGUAAGUCUAAUGUGAAAUCUCCGAGCUUAACUCGGAAACUGCAUCGGAUACUAUCUAGCUUGAGGGUUGGAGGGGGGACUGGAAUACUUGGUGUAGCAGUGAAAUGCGUAGAUAUCAAGUGGAACACCAGUGGCGAAGGCGAGUCCCUGGACAACUCCUGACACUGAGGCACGAAAGCUAGGGGAGCAAACAGGAUUAGAUACCCUGGUAGUCCUAGCCGUAAACGGUGCACGUUUGCUGUAAAAGGAAUCGACCCCUUUUGUGGCGAAGCUAACGCGUUAAACGUGCCGCCUGGGAAGUACGGUCGCAAGAUUAAAACUCAAAGGAAUUGACGGG